rnacentral:rRNA from 2 species
GAGGUUAAGCGACUAAGCGUACACGGUGGAUGCCCUGGCAGUCAGAGGCGAUGAAGGACGUGCUAAUCUGCGAUAAGCGCCGGUAAGGUGAUAUGAACCGUUAUAACCGGCGAUUUCCGAAUGGGGAAACCCAGUGUGACUCGUCACACUAUCAUUAACUGAAUCCAUAGGUUAAUGAGGCGAACCGGGGGAACUGAAACAUCUAAGUACCCCGAGGAAAAGAAAUCAACCGAGAUUCCCCCAGUAGCGGCGAGCGAACGGGGAGGAGCCCAGAGCCUGAAUCAGCAUGUGUGUUAGUGGAAGCGUCUGGAAAGGCGCGCGAUACAGGGUGACAGCCCCGUACACAAAAGCGCAUGUGCUGUGAGCUCGAUGAGUAGGGCGGGACACGUGGUAUCCUGUCUGAAUAUGGGGGGACCAUCCUCCAAGGCUAAAUACUCCUGACUGACCGAUAGUGAACCAGUACCGUGAGGGAAAGGCGAAAAGAACCCCGGCGAGGGGAGUGAAAAAGAACCUGAAACCGUGUACGUACAAGCAGUGGGAGCACCCUUUGGGGUGUGACUGCGUACCUUUUGUAUAAUGGGUCAGCGACUUAUAUUCUGUAGCAAGGUUAACCGAAUAGGGGAGCCGGAGGGAAACCGAGUCUUAAC